rnacentral:rRNA from 1 species
GGUUGCUGGAGGUAUCAGAAGUGCGAAUGCUGACAUAAGUAACGAUAAAGCGGGUGAAAAGCCCGCUCGCCGGAAGACCAAGGGUUCCUGUCCAACGUUAAUCGGGGCAGGGUGAGUCGACCCCUAAGGCGAGGCCGAAAGGCGUAGUCGAUGGGAAACGGGUUAAUAUUCCCGUACUUGGUGUUACUGCGAAGGGGGGACGGAGAAGGCUAUGUUGGCCGGGCGACGGUUGUCCCGGUUUAAGCGUGUAGGUGUGUGUUCCAGGUAAAUCCGGUUCACUUUAACACUGAGGCGUGACGACGAGGCACUACGGUGCUGAAGCAACAAAUGCCCUGCUUCCAGGAAAAGCCUCUAAGCAUCAGGUAACAUCAAAUCGUACCCCAAACCGACACAGGUGGUCAGGUAGAGAAUACCAAGGCGCUUGAGAGAACUCGGGUGAAGGAACUAGGCAAAAUGGUGCCGUAACUUCGGGAGAAGGCACGCUGACACGUAGGUGAAGUGAUUUACUCAUGGAGCUGAAGUCAGUCGAAGAUACCAGCUGGCUGCAACUGUUUAUUAAAAACACAGCACUGUGCAAACACGAAAGUGGACGUAUACGGUGUGACGCCUGCCCGGUGCCGGAAGGUUAAUUGAUGGGGUCAGCGCAAGCGAAGCUCCUGAUCGAAGCCCCGGUAAACGGCGGCCGUAACUAUAACGGUCCUAAGGUAGCGAAAUUCCUUGUCGGGUAAGUUCCGACCUGCACGAAUGGCGUAAUGAUGGCCAGGCUGUCUCCACCCGAGACUCAGUGAAAUUGAACUCGCUGUGAAGAUGCAGUGUACCCGCGGCAAGACGGAAAGACCCCGUGAACCUUUACUAUAGCUUGACACUGAACAUUGAGCCUUGAUGUGUAGGAUAGGUGGGAGGCUUUGAAGCGUGGACGCCAGUCUGCGUGGAGCCGACCUUGAAAUACCACCCUUUAAUGUUUGAUGUUCUAACGUGGACCCGUUACCCGGGUUGCGGACAGUGUCUGGUGGGUAGUUUGACUGGGGCGGUCUCCUCCUAAAGAGUAACGGAGGAGCACGAAGGUUGGCUAAUCCUGGUCGGACAUCAGGAGGUUAGUGCAAUGGCAUAAGCCAGCUUGACUGCGAGCGUGACGGCGCGAGCAGGUGCGAAAGCAGGUCAUAGUGAUCCGGUGGUUCUGAAUGGAAGGGCCAUCGCUCAACGGAUAAAAGGUACUCCGGGGAUAACAGGCUGAUACCGCCCAAGAGUUCAUAUCGACGGCGGUGUUUGGCACCUCGAUGUCGGCUCAUCACAUCCUGGGGCUGAAGUAGGUCCCAAGGGUAUGGCUGUUCGCCAUUUAAAGUGGUACGCGAGCUGGGUUUAGAACGUCGUGAGACAGUUCGGUCCCUAUCUGCCGUGGGCGCUGGAGAACUGAGGGGGGCUGCUCCUAGUACGAGAGGACCGGAGUGGACGCAUCACUGGUGUUCGGGUUGUCAUGCCAAUGGCACUGCCCGGUAGCUAAAUGCGGAAGAGAUAAGUGCUGAAAGCAUCUAAGCACGAAACUUGCCCCGA